rnacentral:rRNA from 1 species
AAUCUGACUCAGAUUAGCCAUGCAUGUGUAAGUAUAAAUAUUUGACUUUGAAACUGCGAAUGGCUCAUUAUAUCAGUUAUAGUUUAUUUGAUGAAAAGUACUACUUGGAUAACCGUAGUAAUUCUAGAGCUAAUACAUGAUAAAAUCCUCGACUUUGAAGAGGUGUAUUUAUUAGAAUGAAACCAAGAGACUUCGGUCUAUUUGUGAGUAAUAAUAACUAAUCGUAUCGCAUGCUUAGGUAGCGAUAUGUCUUUCAAGUUUCUGCCCUAUCAGCUUUGGAUGGUAGUGUAUUGGACUACCAUGGCAGUAACGGGUAACGAAGAAUUUGGGUUCGAUUUCGGAGAGGGAGCCUGAGAGAUGGCUACCACAUCCAAGGAAGGCAGCAGGCGCGUAAAUUACCCAAUCCUGACAUAGGGAGGUAGUGACAAUAAAUCACAAUGCGGAACUAUUAGUUUUGCAAUUGGAUUGAGAACAAUGUACAAAUGUUAUCGAUAAACAAUUGGAGGGCAAGUCUGGUGCCAGCAGCCGCGGUAAUUCCAGCUCCAAUAGCGUAUAUUAACGUUGUUGCAG